UACGUAGGGUGCAAGCGUUAAUCGGAAUUACUGGGCGUAAAGCGUGCGCAGGCGGUUAUGCAAGACAGAGGUGAAAUCCCCGGGCUCAACCUGGGAACUGCCUUUGUGACUGCAUAGCUAGAGUACGGUAGAGGGGGAUGGAAUUCCGCGUGUAGCAGUGAAAUGCGUAGAUAUGCGGAGGAACACCGAUGGCGAAGGCAAUCCCCUGGACCUGUACUGACACUGAGGAGCGAAAGCCAGGGGAGCAAACGGG
rnacentral:rRNA from 1 species